rnacentral:piRNA from 1 species
UUAGAAGUCCAAAUCAGGUGGUGGUA